rnacentral:misc_RNA from 1 species
GGAUGACGUCAAGUCAUCAUGCCCCUUACGUCUUGGGCUACACACGUACUACAAUGCUGCGGACAAAGGGCAGCCAACCAGCGAUGGUGAGCAAAUCCCAUAAACCGUGGCUCAGUUCAGAUUGCAGGCUGCAACUCGCCUGCAUGAAGGAGGAAUCGCUAGUAAUCCCAGGUCAGCAUACUGGGGUGAAUACGUUCCCGGGCCUUGUACACACCGCCCGUCACACCAUGGGAGUUGGCCACGCCCGAAGUCGUUACUCCAACCGUUCGCGGAGGAGGACGCCGAAGGCAGGGCUGAUGACUGGGGUGAAGUCGUAACAAGGUAGCCGUACCGGAAGGUGUGGCUGGAUCACCUCCUUUAAGGGAGACCUGCCCUAUUACAUUCCGAAACAAAAAGGAUUAGGAAGUAGUAGAGGUCAACCAAGGUCGAGCGGAUUAUCGUGCAUCUGGUUUUCAAACGAGUUCGGUUUGGAAGAGGGAACCGAGUAUGGGCUAUUAGCUCAGGUGGUUAGAGCGCACCCCUGAUAAGGGUGAGGUCCCUGGUUCGAGUCCAGGAUGGCCCACUUGUAGCGGGGGUAUAGCUCAGUUGGUAGAGCGCCUGCUUUGCAAGCAGGAUGUCAGCGGUUCGAGUCCGCUUACCUCCAUACCCUUUGAUGAUACGGAUUUAGCACCCUAGUUGAAGAAUUAGGCUGCUGGAUGCGAAUCCAGUAAGAACCUUGACAAUUACAUAGUGAGAGAAGCAGGUAGUAGUCAAUGCUGUGAGAGCAGUGUUGAUGAACCAAGAAACAGAAAUCGAAUCUAGCCGAAUAGCGGUCAAGCUAUAAAGGGCUUACGGUGGAUACCUAGGCACCACAGAGA